rnacentral:lncRNA from 1 species
AUAUAGAUAUAGAUGUAUAUGAUGAUUCCAGAUCUCAUGAUAGAAAUUAUUAGGUAUUAUGUAGUUAGUUUAAGAAUUAUUAGAAAAUUAUAGUGGAAAAGAAUCUUAUGAAAAAUCUAGCAUAUCUGCAUAAAAGAAAUUUAUUAGUUUGAUAGGAAAAAAAUGAAAAAAAACAUUGUUAUGAGAUAAAAAAUAAAGGUACAGUCAUAAGAUUAACUUAAAAUUUAAAUUUAAAUUCAAAAUUCUAUGCAUUUAUAUAUAUUUUUUAAGAGAUAGGUAGCACACUACCUGUUUCGUUUAUUUUAUUUAGAAAUAAACUUAGUUGUAAAUGUGAAUCAGCUAGAAUUCGAACUUGAAACCUCGGGUAUCACCCACCAAAUUUUUUGUCAUUUACUCAUUUAUAAAAUCAAAGUAUUGUUGAUUAAAUAUAGUCGCCACUUUU